GUCACCAUCACUCUAGCAACGCUUCUCUUUGGUAGGAGCCAUUUGUGCAAUGGCAGCAGUUGAUUGCAACUCAGUUUUUUCACCUGCUCGUGCUCCAGCCCGCAGGGAUGUUACUGUUUCCUGUAGUUGCUAACUCCAUGAGACCUUAUGUUCUGUUUGGCCUCUUCAGUUCCUCAGUGUCUAGCUAGUGACUAAGUGAAAGUCUCAGCAUAACCCAUGCGGUUUCUUCUCCUGGAGGCCCUCAGCUGACAAGGUGAGUUGACGGCCACCUUCAUCCAGGCUGAGUGAGAGGGUUGUUAAGAUUUUGCAGAUGUAUUUGACCAGACACUGCACUGGGCCAACAGACCAAACCAAAGUAGAGUUUAAUCAUCGUGACUAAGCUUUGGCUGGUUGCAGUAGCCAGUUAACAGACUGGACUGCAAACAACUAGUUAAGCCAUAAUGGAUGGAAUGGUUCAGCUCACGAGGCUAUAGCCAAGAGUACAUCAACUAGAGAGCCCUUGGAGAGCUUGACAUGUAUCCCCUACAGUUCUGGGAGCAGAGCAGAAGAAUGUCAUCCCACUCAGGAAACUCAGGGGCAAGAGGUGGGCUGCUGAGCUGCACUGAGAGGGGAGGAAGAGUUGCUGCCACACUGGGAUGGACCUACACUCCUGGUUUCUCAGGAUAUGGAGUCUCAUGGACCCAAUUCAAGCCAUACUUGGAAAGUGAAGGGUCAGAGACUGAACCAGUGGGGUUCUUUUAGCCAACCCCCAAUAGGGCCAUCUAUAGAAGCAAUGAAAUCUCAGGUGAAGGAGGGGGAACGGUUUUCUUAGAUGCUGUGGAAUGGCAGAGAAUCACUUGCGGUGCAGGUUAAGGCAACUCAAAUGGAUCUAGAAGUGUCAGUGUUACAUGAUGCUGGCAUCAUGUGCCACACUGAUAAAGAAUGAAACCAUGGGUGAAGCAGGUAGGAUGCAAGCAAAUUUAUUUAAAAGAUAUAAAGGCAAGAAAGUAAAGUUCCCACUAGCCAGAAGGGGGUUCUGGAUAUCCACGAAUGCUUUGUCUAGGGGUUUCUUAGGGGCUUAGAAGGGAGCUCGGGCCAUUGUGUAAGCAAUAUAACCUCUACCCUAUAGGCUAUAUACUUUUUAGGGUCAAAUCUAUGUGGUGUUCAUACAGUGUCCAUGCAGGGCCCGUGUGCCCUUAAGCCAACGAACGGCCUGUCUGAUCAUGAUCUAGGGAGGUCCCAAACAGCCCAAGGACACCUACCAGAUGUUUUUGUAGGAUCCCUGGAGGGCUCUGACUCAGCAGAUUCCAUUUUGGGCUUCCCGACUCCAUUUUGGGGCCACUGUCCCUAAUAAAAUCUUAACUAAUCUGCCUAUUAAAAAAAUCUGCCUAAAAUAAAAAUAAAAUCUCCCUAAAUAAAAAUCUGCCUAAUAAAAUCUUAACUCCUGUCUCACUGAUUCCUGUUAUAUUAGGGUUCUCAAAAGAGCACCCCAUGAGACAGUCCAUUGUCAACACCUCCAGACCUGGAGAACAUGAAGUCAUCUUACUAUGGUACCAGUCAGGUGAAGAUGCUCCUGGCUCCCCUCUCCCUCUCCCUCUCCCACCUCCUCAGACUUCAAUCCUGAGGGUCCAAAAACAGUUUAGAAAGUUGAGGACAAGGGAGUAAACCGAAGCCAGAGCAGGAAACAGAUUAUAACUUCUUCCACACACCUGUAUCUCAUAGGAAACCCUUGUAGGGAAAGGAGAAGAGUCUUAAAAUCACUUUUUGACUUCCAAUUACUUAGGACUGACAGGAUAAGGGCCAAAUUGAGACAUUUGGUGAUUUAAAGUGAUGACCUCUUUUUACUUAAAAGUGACAGAGAGAGAGGGAGAGGGGGAGAGAGAGGGAGGGAGGG
rnacentral:lncRNA from 1 species